AGCACUUCGGUGCUAGAGACCGGCGCACGGGUGCGUAACGCGUAUGCAAUCUACCUUUUACAGGGGGAUAGCCCAGAGAAAUUUGGAUUAAUACCCCAUGGUAUAGUGAGUUGGCAUCAACUUGCUAUUAAAGUCACAACGGUAAAAGAUGAGCAUGCGUCCCAUUAGCUAGAUGGUAAGGUAACGGCUUACCAUGGCUACGAUGGGUAGGGGUCCUGAGAGGGAGAUCCCCCACACUGGUACUGAGACACGGACCAGACUCCUACGGGAGGCAGCAGUGAGGAAUAUUGGACAAUGGGCGCAAGCCUGAUCCAGCCAUGCCGCGUGCAGGAUGACGGUCCUAUGGAUUGUAAACUGCUUUUAUACGAGAAGAAACACUGAUUCGUGAAUCAGCUUGACGGUAUCGUAAGAAUAAGGAUCGGCUAACUCCGUGCCAGCAGCCGCGGUAAUACGGAGGAUCCAAGCGUUAUCCGGAAUCAUUGGGUUUAAAGGGUCCGUAGGCGGUCUAGUAAGUCAGUGGUGAAAGCCCAUCGCUCAACGGUGGAACGGCCAUUGAUACUGCUGGACUUGAAUUAUUAGGAAGUAACUAGAAUAUGUAGUGUAGCGGUG
rnacentral:rRNA from 1 species